UGACGGUACCUGACUAAGAAGCCCCGGCUAACUACGUGCCAGCAGCCGCGGUAAUACGUAGGGGGCAAGCGUUAUCCGGAUUUACUGGGUGUAAAGGGAGCGUAGACGGUUCUGCAAGUCUGAUGUGAAAGGCAGGGGCUCAACUCCUGGACUGCAUUGGAAACUGUAGAACUAGAGUGCCGGAGAGGUAAGCGGAAUUCCUAGUGUAGCGGUGAAAUGCGUAGAUAUUAGGAGGAACACCAGUGGCGAAGGCGGCUUACUGGACGGUAACUGACGUUGAGGCUCGAAAGCGUGGGGAGCAAACAGGAUUAGAUACCCUG
rnacentral:rRNA from 1 species